AUAUGCAACCUGAUUGCACCUCCUUCUGAAUAAUUUAUUGCAAUAUAAAUGUGAAUCCUUUUUGACAGCAGAAACCUGACUUUUGUCAUAUAUAACUUUUGAAACAUGUGCACAUGUUAUGGACGCCAUUUUGUUAUUGUUUACAUACUGUAAAGAAGCCUCCAGAACCAUGAUCUAAACAUUAACAGUCUCGAAAAACUUAGAUAAAGGCAACAGUAGUAUACCGCUGUUCAAAACUCAUAAAUCCAUGGACAAAAAACAAAAUCGGGGUAACAAACUAAAACCGAGGGAAACGCAUUAAAUAUAAGAAGAGUACAACUACACAACACUGAAAUGUAACACAAACAGAAACGUACCAAGCAUCAGACAAAUUCCCACGAGAAUAACAAAAAUAAAAUCAAAACCAAAUACACGAAUUUGGGAUAGACAAGUACCGUGACACGUCUUAUCGCAAUGUGAAUUUACACUAAAAAAUAAAAGAAAACAAACGACGCAACGUUAAAAUGUAACACACACA
rnacentral:lncRNA from 1 species